GAAUGGUCUGCUUGGAACCUGAGCAGCACUGACUUCUGAGGAAGACUGAGAUGGAGACACCCGCCAGUGUCCUGUCGCUCCCGCAGUCUGAACUUCCCAACAGUCCAUGUCCUUUGGUUUAAAAAGUCUUUGUAAAGUCAACAUCCUUCCUAUCAGAAUGGCCUGCACCUCGUCUCUGGGACUCGGGUUUACUUGCAGAGAUCUUCUGGGGAAGACAACCUUCUUUUUGAUCUUUUGGCACAAAGGCAGGAGGCCCAUGGCCUUCCUCCUGGUCACUUGACUUGAGGAGAGCUGUUCCCCUUCGAGCUUUAGGUACAUAGAGUGCCAUGUCAGGCCUUUUGGUUCGAACUCUACAUCUCUCUGCUUCUUGCUGCAUGGCACCACUUCAAUCUGAAAGAAAAUGAAAGGGUUAAUAAUAAAAGACAAAAAAAUUCC
ensembl:antisense Gm16541 predicted gene 16541